AAUAAUCCUAGACGAUCAUCACUCUAUUAUGUUAACUUGGAAGCAAUUAGUGUUGGCCGAAAAGUCGUCGAUAUUCCACCAGCCGCAUUGGCUUUUAAUCCGACCACUGGAGCCGGUACCAUCUUUGAUUCAGGUAACACACUUUUACCUAGUCCAACAUAAAAAUAUACUCUUAGAUGUCUAACACGUAGAAUAUUUGAUUCAAAUUUUUUUGAAGAAAGAAAAUCAAUUGAAAGUUCUAAUAUUUACUUAAAUGCAUUAUUUUGUUAUAGAACAACAUAUAGAAAUUCUAGUUACCAUAAUCAUAUUAUAAUUCUUUGUAUUUAUUGUUAAACAUUACCAGGUACCGUGUUUACUCGGCUGGUUGCCCCGGUCUAUGUCGCGGUUAGAGACGAGUUCCGGCGAAGAGUUGGGCCAAAGCUCACAGUGACAUCCCUAGGAGGGUUUGACACAUGCUACAAUGUCCCAAUAGUUGUACCCACAAUAACAUUCAUAU
rnacentral:lncRNA from 1 species